CGCCUCUUGCAAAACGAACAAAUAAGAGGUCCCGCCUGCCCAGUGACUAUAUGUUCAACGGCCGCGGUAUUCUGACCGUGCGAAGGUAGCGCAAUCACUUGUCUCUUAAAUGGAGACCUGUAUGAAAGGCACCACGAGGGCUUAGCUGUCUCCCCUUCAAGGUCAAUGAAAUUGAUCUCCCCGUGCAGAAGCGGGGAUUUGCUCGUAAGACGAGAAGACCCUAUGGAGCUUAAGACAUAAAGCGACCCACGUCAAAAACCCCUUUAAAAGGAUAUGAACAGAAUGAGCUUCGCCGAAAUGUCUUCGGUUGGGGCGACCGCGGGGAAAGACCAAACCCCCACAUGGACCAGGGCCACAAUAGCCUUAAAACCCAGACCCCCAAGUCAAAUCAACAGUAUUUCUGACCACCAAAGAGCCGGCAAUGCCGAUCAACGGACCGAGUUACCCUAGGGAUAACAGCGCAAUCCCCUCCCAGAGCCCUUAUCGACGAGGGGGUUUACGACCUCGAUGUUGGAUCAGGACAUCCUAAUGGUGCAGCCGCUAUUAAGGGUUCGUUUGUUCAACGAUUAAAGUCCUACGU
rnacentral:rRNA from 1 species